rnacentral:lncRNA from 1 species
AGAAACCUUGUUGUAGCCACGCUGGUCUCUUGGGGGUACAUUUUCUGAGAGCCCUACGCCAGCAGUGUUCCCUCAGGUAUUCUGGCCACAGAAAUGAAACACUAACCAAUUCAACUACCCAGACAUCCAGAGCAUUCAGAACUCUCUCUUCACUUCCCUCACGUCUCCACAGACUGGACCCCACCCCACAGGAUGGUAGAGCUCACAUGUAAGGUGUUUUGUCUGCAUGUCUGAGGCACGUUCAUGCCUCAGAGGCAGGGGUGGGGCAUCAGAUCCCCUGGAACUGGAGUUACAGAUGGUUAUAAGUCAAUAAGUGGAUGCUGAGACUUGAACCCAGGUCCUCUGAAAGAGCAGCCAGUCCCCCUAACUCCUGAGCCAUCUCUUCAGAUUACCCCCACCCUCUUAAUCCAGUCAAGAUGACAACCGAAAAGAACCAGGUUCCUCACCAGGUCACAACAAAUGGAGAAUACGUGUGUUGAAAGAUGUCCCAUCCCAUCUACCCCGUCAACAGAAAAUGACAAAUGAAAGCAAUGUACAGUAAUACCACAGGCCUGGCAGAGCAGACAACAGUAGAUGCUGGCCACAAUACCGAUUAAGGCGUUCUCGUUUAUUGUUAGAUGGAAUGAAAAAAUGGCGUAAGUACCUCGGAAGACGGUGUAUCAGUCUCUUUCACUAUUAACUGACCCCUUACCGUAUAAUCUAGCAAUUGCAGUUGUAGUUGUUUGGAAUGAGAAUGUCACUAUGGGCUCCUGUAUUUGAACAUUUGGCCCCUAGUUAGCACUGUUCAGAGAAGUUCUGGGGAGGUGUGGUCUUGCUGGAGGAAGUACAACACUGAGGGCGUGUCCGGGGCGGGGCCAGAGUUGGGGGAGGAGCCGGGGGCGGGGCAGGAUUUCAGAGUUUUCACCUCAACCGUUUCACUCUCUGCUUAGUGUUGGUGCUUGAACCUGCUCCUGCCCUACGCCUGCUGCCUUCCCUCCUUGUCGUUAAGGACUUUCCCUCUGAAUCCAUAACCCAACAGAACCUAGAAGCUCUUUCUUCCUUAAUUUGCUUUUGGUCAUGGUGUUAGUCACAGCACCAGAGAUGUACCGAUUACAGUACGCUUUGGUAGUCACCCAAAUGAGAGGCAAACUUCUGUUUAUUCAGAAACUUGCACAUGGAUAAUUCAAAGCAGCUCUGCUCC